rnacentral:rRNA from 1 species
UCAGUCGACUCCUACGGGAGGCAGCAGUGGGGGAAUAUUGCACAAUGGGCGCAAGCCUGAUGCAGCCAUGCCGCGUGUGUGAAGAAGGCCUUCGGGUUGUAAAGCACUUUCAGUCGUGAGGAAGGUAGUGUAGUUAAUAGCUGCAUUAUUUGACGUUAGCGACAGAAGAAGCACCGGCUAACUCCGUGCCAGCAGCCGCGGUAAUACGGAGGGUGCGAGCGUUAAUCGGAAUUACUGGGCGUAAAGCGCAUGCAGGUGGUUUGUUAAGUCAGAUGUGAAAGCCCCGGGGCUCAACCUCGGAAUAGCAUUUGAAACUGGCAGACUAGAGUACUGUAGAGGGGGUAGAAUUUCAGGUGUAGCGGUGAAAUGCGUAGAGAUCUGAAGGAAUACCGGUGGCGAAGGCGGCCCCCUGGACAGAUACUGACACUCAGAUGCGAAAGCGUGGGGAGCAAACAGGAUUAGAUACCCUGGUAG